UGAUCGGUGUCUUUUCAUUGUGUUGUUGCGUUUCUGUGUUGUUGGGUGUUGUCGGUUACCCGAUGCGAAGGAAAUCUUUAUCGGUUGCAGUAGUUUGUGGUUAGAAAGGAUGUGGUUUGGAAGGAUGGUCUACGUUUAGUCGUGAUUGUGACGGUCCUCAAAGCUCGGUUUUCGCAGUAUCUGAACCACUUUGAAGAAAAGUUUGUGAGAAAUUACUAGUGAGUUUUGAAGCCAGAAUUACUUCUCGUGCUAUACAGAGAGGCACUUCUGUUCCUACUUUUGGCUGAUGAAAAAUCAGGAUGUUUUGGAUCUUUGAAGACCAUGCAAACACUUCUUAUUGAAGACCACCUUUGUUUGUUGCUUUUACUCCAAAGUGUUCAUGGGAGGUGAGAAUGGAGCCUGGCUUUACUGAGGUACCAACUUUUACCACAUAUUACCAAUAGUUUUGAAUGGUGCUCUUGCAAGUAUGUAAGAAAGCAAUUUAUU